rnacentral:misc_RNA from 1 species
AACGCAACUUGCACUCUAGGUUCUCCUAGAGUAUGCCUAUUUGAGUAUCGGUACAACACCCACUCAAACCCCCCCUUAGUGUGCGGGUUUGGAUCUGAUGAGUCGUGUGCCACCACCAUCUCGCGUGGCGCUGACUUGAAGUAAUGUAUAUUGAAUCGGGCCUAUGCAUACCACCGCGUGCGCACACCUGGUUCUGACGUGAUAGUCUCAUUCUUGGGAACUCGUCAGUACAGGCGCGCAAUCCACGUGGAUCGGUCAUAGUGUUUCCCAGUCACCCACCCCACAUUCUUGAUAUUAUGAAUCUCGAUCUCAAAUUAGGUAGGACUACCCGCUGAAUUUAA